rnacentral:rRNA from 1 species
CCUACGGGUGGCAGCAGUGGGGGAUCUUGCACAAUGGGGGGAACCCUGAUGCAGCGACGCCGCGUGGGCGAUGGAGUGCUUCGGCAUGUAAAGCCCUAUCAGCAGGGAAGAAAAUGACGGUACCUGACUAAUAAGCCCCGGCUAAAUACGUGCCAGCAGCCGCGGUAAUACGGAUGGGGCAAGCGUUAUCCGGAUGUACUGGGUGUAACGGGAGCGUAGGCUGCUUGGCAGGCCUGAUGUGAAAUACCGGGGCGCAACCCCGGGUCUGCAUGGGAAACUGCCAGGCUGGAGUGCCGGAGAGGCAGGCGGAAUUCCAAGUGUAGCGGUGAAAUGCGUAGAUAUUAGGAGGAACACCAGUGGCGAAGGCGGCCGGCUGGACAGUGACUGACGCUGAGGCUCGAAAGCGUGGGGAGCGAACAGGAUUAGAUACCCUAGUAGUC